GGGGACCUGAUCCAGCCAUGCCGCGUGUGUGAAGAAGGCCUUAUGGUUGUAAAGCACUUUAAGCGAGGAGGAGGCUACUUUAGUUAAUACCUAGAGAUAGUGGACGUUACUCGCAGAAUAAGCACCGGCUAACUCUGUGCCAGAGCCGCGGUAAU
rnacentral:rRNA from 1 species